ensembl:snRNA U6 U6 spliceosomal RNA
GUCCUUUCUUCGGCAGCACAGACGUUAAAUCUGGAAAAAUAUAGAGAAGAUUGGAAGAGCAAGGAUGAUAUGUCAAUUCGUAAAGAAUAUCAUAUAUUC